UGGUCGCUUAGCUCAGUUGGUUAGAGCGUGGUGCUAAUAACGCCAAGGUCGCGAGUUCGACCCUCGUAGUGACCA
rnacentral:tRNA from 1 species